rnacentral:tRNA from 1 species
AGGUCCGUAGCUCAAUUGGUAGAGCACCGGUCUCCAAAACCGGGGGUUGGGGGUUCGAGUCCCUCCGGACCUGCCA